rnacentral:rRNA from 1 species
AAUCUAUACGGUGAAACUGCGAAUGGCUCAUUAAAUCAGUUAUCGUUUAUUUGAUAGUACCUUACUACUUGGAUAACCGUGGUAAUUCUAGAGCUAAUACAUGCUAAAAACCCCAACUCCGGGAGGGGUGUAUUUAUUAGAUAAAAAACCAACGCCCUUCGGGGCUCCUUGGUGAUUCAUAAUAACUAAACGAAUCGCAUGGCCUUGCGCCGGCGAUGGUUCAUUCAAAUUUCUGCCCUAUCAACUUUCGAUGGUAGGAUAGUGGCCUACCAUGGUAUCAACGGGUAACGGGGAAUUAGGGUUCUAUUCCGGAGAGGGAGCCUGAGAAACGGCUACCACAUCCAAGGAAGGCAGCAGGCGCGCAAAUUACCCAAUCCCGACACGGGGAGGUAGUGACAAUAAAUACUGAUACAGGGCUCUUACGGGUCUUGUAAUUGGAAUGAGUACAAUUUAAAUCCCUUAACGAGGAACAAUUGGAGGGCAAGUCUGGUGCCAGCAGCCGCGGUAAUUCCAGCUCCAAUAGCGUAUAUUAAAGUUGUUGCAGUUAAAAAGCUCGUAGUUGAACCUUGGGCCUGGCUGGCCGGUCCGCCUCACCGCGUGCACUGGUCCGGCCGGGCCUUUCCUUCUGGGGAUCCGCAUGUCCUUUACUGGGUGUGUCGGGGAACCAGGACUUUUACUUUGAAAAAAUUAGAGUGUUCAAAGCAGGCCUUUGCUCGAAUACAUUAGCAUGGAAUAAUAGAAUAGGACGUGCGGUUCUAUUUUGUUGGUUUCUAGGACCGCCGUAAUGAUUAAUAGGGAUAGUCGGGGGCAUCAGUAUUCAAUUGUCAGAGGUGAAAUUCUUGGAUUUAUUGAAGACUAACUACUGCGAAAGCAUUUGCCAAGGAUGUUUUCAUUAAUCAGUGAACGAAAGUUAGGGGAUCGAAGACGAUCAGAUACCGUCGUAGUCUUAACCAUAAACUAUGCCGACUAGGGAUCGGGCGAUGUUACUAUUCUGACUCGCUCGGCACCUUACGAGAAAUCAAA